rnacentral:rRNA from 1 species
CCAAUAGCGUAUAUUAAAGUUGUUGCAGUUAAAAAGCUCGUAGUUGAAUUUCGGGAUCAAUAUGUCGGUCGUGCCUCGGUACGUACUGGCGUCAUUGGUUUCUCCCUUCUGAAGAACCUUGAUGUCAUUAAUUUGGUGUCUUGGGGAAUCAGGACUGUUACUUUGAAAAAUUUAGAGUGUUUAAAGCAGGCUCGCGCUUGAAUACAUUAGCAUGGGAUAAUGAAAUAGGACGUUUGAUUCUAUUUUGUUGGUUUCUAGGAUCGACGUAAUGAUUAAUAGGGAUAGUUGGGGGCAUUAGUAUUCAAUUGUCAGAGGUGAAAUUCUUGGAUUUAUUGAAGACUAACUACUGCGAAAGCAUUUGCCAAGGAUGUUUUCAUUAAUCAAGAACGAAAGUUAGGGGAUCGAAGACGAUCAGAUACCGUCGUAGUCUUAACCAUAAACUAUGCCGACUAGGGAUCGGAUGAUGUUAAUUUUUUAAUGACUCAUUCGGCGCCUUACG